CCUACGGGAGGCUGCAGUGGGGAAUAUUGCGCAAUGGGCGAAAGCCUGACGCAGCGACGCCGCGUGAGGGAUGAAGGUCUUCGGAUCGUAAACCUCUGUCAGCAGGGAAGACUGGUCACUGUGCUAAUCAGCAGUGAAUUGACGGUACCUGCAAAGGAAGCACCGGCUAACUCCGUGCCAGCAGCCGCGGUAAUACGGGGGGUGCGAGCGUUAAUCGGAAUUACUGGGCGUAAAGCGCUCGUAGGCGGUAUGUCAAGUCAAGGGUGAAAUCCCCGCGCUCAACGUGGGAACUGCCUUUGAAACUGGCAAACUGGCGUGUGUGAGAGGAGAGUGGAAUUCCAGGUGUAGGAGUGAAAUCCGUAGAGAUCUGGAGGAACAUCAGUGGCGAAGGCGACUAUCUGGCACAUAACUGACGCUGAGGAGCGAAAGCGUGGGUAGCAAACAGGAUUAGAUACCCGAGUAGUC
rnacentral:rRNA from 1 species